UUAAGUGAAAUGUCUGAUACAAGAAAAAGGAUAAAAGCUUUUUUUUCUUGCAUGGUAAAAACACCCACCCAACCCAGAAGUGCACCACUUGCUUGUUCUCACUUUGCUCCCAUUGGUGACUCAACCUCCAACCAAAGGUUUGGAAUGGAGGGUCCUUACCAAUAGGAUAUACCCUCCCAUUGUCAAUGCAAGCAAAACACUAUAAAGCCAAAAAGCAUUUAUAUGGAUAAUGGAAUUGAAAAAUUAUACAAUUAAGUGAAAUGUAUGAAGUGAUGAAAGGCCAAUUUUGUUGGUGCUGUUGUUGUAUAAAUUUCAGAUGCAAAAAUACCCUCAUUGUUUCUUAUUUAAAUUUACAAAUAGUAUAUUACACUAAAUCCUAAAUUUAUCUGUCCUAAAAGCUCACACAUUCAUUCUUUCAUUUAGGAGCUAUGAAUAUCAUGUCAUGUCGUCCUCGUGGGUGCAGGCCAGUAAUCAACGAGACAUGCCUUAGUACAUGCACUAAGGCACCAUCAAAGUGAGGUGAAACGUCCAGCUUGCACUACAACUAGUUUCAGGUUUUAAGUGUGGUUCAACCGAUUUUUAACAACAUUGAGUAAUAAAUCCCAAAGCAUCAUGUUCACUUCAGUAGCUAAUGCAAAGAAACUGAACAAGUUCAUGUCGUCCUCGUGGGUGCAGGCCUAUGAGCAACAAGACAUACCUUCGUAUAUGCACUAAGGCGCCAUCAAAGUGAGGUGAAACGUCCAGCUUGCACUACAACUAGUUUCAGGUUUUAAGUGCGCUUCAACCGAUUUUUAACAACAUUGAGCAAUAAAUCCCAAAGCAUCAUGUUCAUCUCAGUAGCUAAUGCAAAGAAACUGAACAAGUCCCCCCCCCCCCCAAACCCCCCUUUUUCCCAAAACCCCNNNNNNNNNNNNNNNNNNNNNNNNNNNNNNNNNNNNNNNNNNNNNNNNNNNNNNNNNNNNNNNNNNNNNNNNNNNNNNNNNNNNNNNNNNNNNNNNNNNNNNNNNNNNNNNNNNNNCCAAACUCACCUUUUUCCCAAUACCCCGAGGAAAAAAGGGAAUAUAUAUAUUUUUUUUAUAACUGAAAGAUCCCCGCGGGCUUAUAUCGCACAGGAGCUUAGCCCUCUACCUUUCUCUACUUAAGUACCAUGCUUUUGCUUACAUCAUGGUUCGAGCCUAAGUUGCUCGGACAUGGGCGCGGGUAUCCGAUACGCGUGCGAAUCUAGAGAUCAGAUCUUCCGAGAUUUAAAUUCUAAAGUUCGGGAAUACGGAUCCUAGUACGGAUAGAGGUGCAAGAUCUGGCUGAAAAUAAUUCAAAAAAAAUAAAAAUACAAAAAUAUCUCUGAAAUACUUACGUAUAGCUAGUAAAGUGUAGAUUUUGUUUUUUAUUCUCAAGUUGUAGAUAAGUAAAGGAUUGAUUUUCUAGAUAAGGUAUGUUAUUUUAUUCAAACUUACCCUAGUUUUAGUUAUGGUUUCGAGAAUCAAAUUAUAUUCUCGUCUCGAAUUUUUCUGUCUGUCAUGGUCAAAGUACACAAAAUUGUUUGACCACAUCCCAUACGCACACCCAUAUUAGUGUCGCACGGAUAAAGCACCUAAUCUGCCGAGUCGAAGCAACUUAGGUUCGACCCAUGAUAAAGGCCAAAAAAAGAGACAUUUUCUUCCAGUGUAGUUUCUAUUCUUAUUUCCUAAGUUGUUAUAGCAAGCCAUCAUAGGCUCCACAUAGCAGAAAGACUAGCUUAACCAAACUAAAUUCAAUCUCUUCCCAACAGAUUAUUUGCUUCAAUGGGUGUUGAGCAAUGUCUUCCAAGAAAAUUCUUCUACGAACAUUCUUGACAACAUUCCUCUCCCAAACCCCCUCACUCCUCCAGAACCUCGCUCUGUGCCUCUCCCAUCCACCCAUCUUUUAACAGGAUGUCCUGUCCGAAGACACCGUAUUAUUUAUCAGAUGGUCAGAAUUGAGUCUCACUUUUGUUCUUCACCCCCAGAAGUGGAAACUGCCGUAAAAAUUGGUUUGAAUGGUGCAACAGCAAAAAAGACAUGUAGCUUCUAUGUGCAUAAUGGACAUGAGAACAAAUUUCACAGCGAAGAAGGAAAAUCCACUAGCAGAUCUUAACAUGGGUUAGUUACCUCCAUACGGAAGAGCUUGGUCGGUACAAUGACACCAAAUCCAGCUGAAGCUCGGACUAAUUCUUGGAAUUUCUGUAAAGACAAAUCUUUAUACGCAUUUUCUGUUAAUUUGUUCAGGCUUCCGGUACAAGCAAAAGCAUGGCCAUGAAUUCCAGCUUCUCUUAAUACCCGCAAUGGUAGAUCAAAAGAAAGGUCCGCAAAAGCAGUAACAGCAAGAUCUCCUCCCACAAAAUCCAUUGUGGAAGCUGCAUCAUAGCUCUCAUCACUGGAAUUCUCUACAACUUGCCUUCUAGGUUCAGCAGGUCCCAAUCCCCUGGUCUUGAAGCCCAAUAAAGAUGAUGGCCCCCCAAGUGCACAAACUGGAGAAGAAUUACCACCCAGAAAAAAUUUCUCAGGUAAAAAUAACAAUCGAAAAAUAUACUCUACAACUUGCCUUCUAGGUUCAGCAGGUCCCAAUCCCCUGGUCUUGAAGCCCAAUAAAGAUGAUGGCCCCCCAAGUGCACAAACUGGCGAAGAAUUACCACCCAGGAAAAAUUUCUCAGGUAAAGACGUAGGCAGACUUAAAAACCCACUUCCCCAUGGGACAGUUACACCAGCAGAAAUACCAAUGUUGAGAGCAGCAUUAAAAAAUCCCAGAGGUAAAGCAUAGCGGAAGUCCAACUCCUGCUCAGAAAUCCAUAAGUUUUGUUAUACUGUGGAUCUGAUAGUUCAGAAGUAUAUAUAUAGGUUCAGAAUCAGACUGUCAUAAUGGUGGGAAAUAUAUGAUUGAUAGAUACCAGACAAGAUGGCCAUAACAAGUUACAGAACCAUUCUACUGCCACUAGCAGUAAUCUAAAUGACAGUAAGUUAUAGAUUACAUCUGAAACAACAAAACAGAAUGGGUAGAAGGAAAAUUGCAGUUAAAUCUAACUAUUCAACAUCAACAGAAACCUAGAUAUCACACUAGUAACAGAAGUUAUUUAAGAAAAACUUAAAAGAGGUCACACAGAACGAACCUGACGGAGAAAGCGUAACCCCCGGUGAUCUGGUAGGAGGCCACCAAUUUGAGAAGACGAAAGAAAGGCAUAUCCUCGGGUUGGUCUCAGAGGAGAGUUCCUCCUAUCAAUUUUAAAUGUAUACUUUAGAGCGGAAAUUAAACUAUGCCCAAGCUGUCUCCUCACUGCUCUCGAUGACAUUUGUGAUGGGUCAGUCAAGGCUCGCCAAUAGAGACUGUAUGUCAAAUCAUGGCUUCUGGAUGACAGUAGGCCAAGAGAAAGUCCCAAAGCUCGUUCUUUGUAAGAAGAGAACUUCAGCCAAUCUUGAGAAAGAAGAGAUAAUCGAGCUGUCACAGGGGUGAUCAAUCUUUUGAAUCUGGGUAGACACACACCAGCACUAACCUCUGAAGUCAGGUCCCAGCCAUAAGCCAAAGACCCAUCCCAUAUGUCCCCAUAACCUAACAAGUUUUUCAGCUUCAAUGAACCUUCAAGUGACCAAGCUCUAGCCUACAGAAGCAAAUUGAAGUUUUAAUCAAAAUCCAAGAGAAAAACAGCAACUGAUGCAAGCAUGCUGCUUCUAUAAUUUCAAAGCAUGUUCACACACCAUGUGAGAGAACCCAAUAUACUGUUCACCAAUAGCAAGAUCACAGAACAGAUUUUAGUUACACAUGCAAACUGAAGUGAAAAAAAUAUAACAGCUUGAGUCUUUUCUCUCAUCUUUCUCUAUAGUAUCAAACUUUGGUUAUUGACUCUCUUCUUUAAAUAUUAGGUCUUUGGCAAAUAUCCCGAGAGACACUUAUUCUAUUUUUAUCCUUCAUAAUAUCAGGGUUUGCUAAUGAGGCCCUUAUCUCAAAAAUGAAUUUCCAGUCAAAGAAUGAAGGUUGCGGAGAUGAGGAUGCUUAGGUGGAUGUGUGGGCACACCAGGCUGGANN
rnacentral:lncRNA from 1 species